CACGUAGUUAGCCGGUGCUUCUUCUGCAGGUACCGUCACUUUCGCUUCUUCCCUGCUGAAAGAGGUUUACAACCCGAAGGCCGUCAUCCCUCACGCGGCGUCGCUGCGUCAGGCUUUCGCCCAUUGCGCAAUAUUCCCCACUGCUGCCUCCCGUAGGAGUCUGGGCCGUGUCUCAGUCCCAGUGUGGCCGGUCGCCCUCUCAGGCCAGCUACCCGUCGUCGCCUUGGUAGGCCAUCACCCCACCAACAAGCUGAUAGGCCGCGAGCCCAUCCCCAGCCGAAAAACUUUCCACCCACACACCAUGCGAUCGUGGGUCGUAUCCAGUAUUAGCCACCGUUUCCGAUGGUUAUCCCAGAGCCAGGGGCGGGUUGCUCACGUGUUACUCACCCGUUCGCCACUGAUCCACCCCGAAGGGCUUCACCGUUCGACUUGCAUGUGUUAAGCACGCCGCCAGCGUCGUCCUCGAGCCAGGAGUCAAACUC
rnacentral:rRNA from 1 species